rnacentral:rRNA from 1 species
UACAGGGGGUGCAAACGUUGCUCGGAAUCAUUGGGCGUAAAGCGCACGUAGGCGGUUCGUUAUGUCGGAUGUGAAAGCCCUUGGCUUAACCGAGGAAGUGCAUCCGAAACUGGCGAGCUAGAGUACGAAAGAGGAUCGCGGAAUUCCCGGUGUAGAGGUGAAAUUCGUAGAUAUCGGGAGGAACACCGGUGGCGAAAGCGGCUCACUGGACCAUAACUGACGCUGAGGCACGAAAGCUAGGGGAGCAAACAGG